GCGCCCGUGGCGAAAUUGGUAACCGCAACGGCUUUAGGUGCCGUCGCCUUUUGGCUUGUCAGUUCGAGUCUGACCGGGCGCA
rnacentral:tRNA from 1 species